UAGAUAGCACAGUAGAGUGAAUUCCUCUAUUUAGCCAAUGGCACCAAUAAUGCUGCUUUCCUUGUAUUGCUACAUUACGAUGCCUCAAUGCUGAUUCAAAAGAACAAUCCCACUGGGUGAGAGGGUAGUUCAGUUGCCAUCCAUUCAAUCCUUGACCUCU
rnacentral:sRNA from 1 species